rnacentral:rRNA from 1 species
UACGUAGGUGGCAAGCGUUGUCCGGAUUUACUGGGUGUAAAGGGCGUGCAGCCGGGAAGACAAGUCAGAUGUGAAAUCCCGCGGCUCAACCGCGGAACUGCAUUUGAAACUGUUUUUCUUGAGUACCGGAGAGGUCAUCGGAAUUCCUUGUGUAGCGGUGAAAUGCGUAGAUAUAAGGAAGAACACCAGUGGCGAAAGCGGCUCUCUGGCCUGUAACUGACACUGAGGCUCGAAAGCGUGGGGAGCAAACAGG